rnacentral:rRNA from 1 species
UACGAAGGGGGCUAGCGUUGCCCGGAAUCACUGGGCGUAAAGCGCACGUAGGCGGAUUGCUAAGUCAGGGGUGAAAUCCUGGAGCUCAACUCCAGAACUGCCCUUGAUACUGGCGGUCUCGAGUCCGGGAGAGGUGAGUGGAACUGCGAGUGUAGAGGUGAAAUUCGUAGAUAUUCGCAAGAACACCAGUGGCGAAGGCGGCUCACUGGUCCGGUACUGACGCUGAGGUGCGAAAGCGUGGGGAGCAAACAGG